rnacentral:rRNA from 1 species
UACGUAGGUGGCAAGCGUUAUCCGGAAUUAUUGGGCGUAAAGCGCGCGCAGGCGGUUUCUUAAGUCUGAUGUGAAAGCCCGCGGCUCAACCGUGGAGGGUCAUUGGAAACUGGGGAACUUGAGUGCAGAAGAGAAAAGCGGAAUUCCACGUGUAGCGGUGAAAUGCGUAGAGAUGUGGAGGAACACCAGUGGCGAAGGCGGCUUUUUGGUCUGUAACUGACGCUGAGGCGCGAAAGCGUGGGGAGCAAACAGG